CACUUGAGAAGAAGAAGCAAUUCACAGAGCUAGCAUUAUUUUGCCUUCUGUGUUCACAGAGAUACAUUGUUUUGUGAGACAUUC
rnacentral:snoRNA from 1 species